UAAGAAUCUUUAGCAGUAAAACCUUUGCUUUAUUGAGACAAUUAGUGCUGGUUAGCUGGGGCUGAAAUUAAUAAGAGACCAGCAUCACUGAGGCGAAACCUUUUAGGAAGUUAUUUUCUCAGGAUCAGCACACAGAAGUUGUGGUCUGGCGGGGCUAAGCCUGCACCCCAAUUGGCAGUGGACUUGGUAGUGUUUACAACUCUCCCACGCGGUGCUGGGUUUGAAGGCAUGAGGGGGUCAUUGAGAACAGCUGAAGCUUCGCUUGGAUCGGGAGGGCCAGGGUCCCUGAAGAGAAGCCAGGAGGCCAUUGGUGAAGGUGCAGCCUCAGUUCUAGUGGAGACUAGCGUAUUGCAGAUACCAGUACUAUGGGACAACCACCAAGGACAGGGGCAGGUGUGGUUUGGCGCUGACCUGAGUCCACCAGAUAAACUGUGUGCGUUGGAUGGCAAAGUUGGAAGGGUGGGUCUCCUCAGGAUAUUUGGAGCUCAGAAAAUCUUGAGUGAGACUAUGUAGACCAGGCUGGCCUCAGACUCAGAGACGUCUUCUUGCUCCUGCCUCCUGAGUGCGGGCAUUAAAGGUGUGUGCCACCACACCCUACUGGACUGUGUUUUACACUGCGAUAGUAAUACAAAAUCUUUUUUUUUUUUUUUUUUUUUUUUGGUUAUUUGAGACAGGGUUUCUCUGCAGCUGUAGAGCCUGUCCUGGAGCUAGCUCUUGUAGACCAGGCUAGUCUCGAACUCACAGAGAUCCGCCUGCCUCUGCCUCCCGAGUGCUGGGAUUAAAGGUGUGCGCCACCACCGCCCGGCAGUAAUACGAAAUCUUAUGGACAAGUUCUGGUUUAAUAGUGAUGUGUUAUGUGGAAAGAAACAGGAGGGAUUAUGUCAAAAAAGUAAUAGAAUUGACUUCCAAAAAGUUGUCCCCUGGCCUCUAUUGGUGGGGGUGUGGGUGCACACACAAUCUUUUUUAAAACAAAACAAAACAAAACAAAAUUGUUAAUUGUCAAUAAAAAUUCAGUGAAAUGGUUUGGUUCCCAGUGACUCCGAGUAAACCAAGUUCCCUGCAUCUUCGGAGCCUCGGCUCCUAUUGGUUGUUCUCCUUCAAUUCUCCAAUGACACAGACCUAUGUGGCUUCUCCUUUGGUCAAGCCUUUGCGCAAAUCUAACACCCUCAGCAAACCCCUUCGUCAUCUACUCCAAUGGUACCCUGCUGUCCUGCCCCUCUCUUCACUCCUCUGCAACGUUUUCUUCAUUGUGUCGCUCCCAUCCUGGCAUGUUAUUACAUAGCUUUUUUAUUACCUGCAUCUUCCCCCAUGAAAGCAAGGACUUUCUUCGUUACUGCUGUAAUCCCAGCCCCUAGCACAGGCCCUACCCUCUGUUAGUACAUGCUAAUGAAGAAAAGGGACUGGACAGCUUGGGAGAGCAAGGGCUGAAGGUGCAUUCUGGACUUCGCGUCUGCAGCUCCGUGCUGCUGUGGCUGUUCCGGGAAGGCUGGCGCACCGCCUGUGAAGUGCUCUGCUCUCCAGAAAGCUUCCUCUUGCUCACCGGUCCUCACAGUUAAAUGCAGGAGCAAGCAGUGCUGGCUUUGAACCUGCAGACCUGCUCCCGCCAUCUGGCUUCUGUGUCUCCCAUGGGGUCAGAAUUCCUGGGAAGCUUCUGCACAUGAGCCUUCCAGGCACUCACGUUUUGGUGGGCCUGGUUUUAAUAAGUGCCCUCCAUUCCCAGUAACCAUACUUAGGCAACUGUACAGUGGUCGGGAUCUACCUGGUCUGGGUGAGUGUGGGAAUGAAGAAUACCAAAACAACGUGCUUGCUCACAGCUGUCCCUGACUCAGUCUUCAGAAUUCUCACUUCUCUGCCCCAGUUCCAUGACGCACAACUAGUUGUCUUUGCUGUGCCUGGUUCUGGGGUUCCCCCCUCCCACGUGUCUAUGGACAAAUGCAUGCUCCUAACCCUUGCUCUGCUGCUGUGAAUUGCUCAUGCCAAUGAUGAUUGCAUGGUGAAGAAGGAGCCCUAUAGAAGUUGGUGGGGAUGCUUUUGACUGUGAAAGUUGGGUGAUGUGAUGUUUAAUUAAUUAAUUAAUUAAUUAAUUAAUUUUUUUUCCCUAGAUAGAGUCUCUCUGUGUAGAUCUGACUGUCCUGGAACUCACUGUAGUCCAGGCUGGCCUUGAACUCUGAGAUCCCCUUGCCUCUGCCUCCUGAGUACUGAGAUUAAAGAAAGGCAUUGCUCCACCGUGCUGGAUUUAGUGACUUUAAAUUCUUAACAUCACGCAGUAUAUGAUUGUGUAGUUUCAGUCUCUUUGGACCUCCACUUACCGACAUGUAAAAUGGGUUGGGAAUGGUUGCUGUGUGUGUGCUGAAGACAGGGUGGAUGGAGGAAUGUUGCAUGUAGCAAAAGGACAGAUGGAGAAGACAGGCUUUAUGGGAAACUUUUAAAAGUUUUGAAACUGCUGGGGUCUAAUGGAAGCUGACCACCUGCCAUGAAGAUGAAAGCUGCUCUCUCAAAUACAAAAGGAAAAAUUA